AGCCCCCUAAACCGAAAGGCAGGCGAAAAAGCUACAUAGAAAAAUUCGAUGAAUUCCAUUUGGAGGCCAUAAGACGCAAGGUUCAUCAAUUCUUUUUCCGAAACGAAGGUCCAACUAUUGCCAAGGUCCAGGAAGCCAUCAAUGAUGAUGAUACGCUACCUAACUUAUCGAGAAGUACAACUUACAAAAUACUCAAACAUUUAAAUUUUAAAUAUGCGACAAGAAACAGGAAAAGUUGCUUAAUUGACCGUCAAGAUAUAAUUUUGUGGCGCAAAAAAUAUUUAUUAGCGAUCUAGCAAUAUCGACGGGAGGGAAAGGUUAUAUAUUACCAAGAUGAGACUUGGGUUAAUGAAGGUCACACAAUGAAAAAAGUCUGGCAAGAUACACAAAUCCAAUCACGCAAAGAUGCAUUUUUAGAAGGGUAUUCUACGGGAUUAACG